rnacentral:lncRNA from 10 species
AUUCUGAAGAUGACUCUGCAAGCAUGGAGUUCAUUCCAGAGGAGGUUAGAAUCACUCAGCAUGAAGAGAGGGUGUAACAGGAUGUUGUCUCUGCUGAGGAAGUGGGGCUGCCACCCGAUGGAUUGGAUGGAUUGUCGGUCAUCCCCGCAGGAGAGGCUGGGCCAGGUUGUGGUGCGUCCAACCCCCAGCCCUCUGGGCAGACCGGUUGUGAUCUAAGUCAUUUCAAGGUAAAGAGCAGCUGAUAUGUCAGGACCUGCGACACGGUGUUCAGAGAACAUGUAACACAAGCCAGCUGUCUCUGAAGGGGUAGAACGGGGGGAGGCACUUGUAUCUUGUGGGCAGAGGCUUCUUGCCAGACCACAAAGGUGGGGAGGGGUCUGUGUGGGGCCACUGAGGGGCUUGGAGACUACAGCUCCAUGCCAGUGAGAGAAAACAGGAUGGGAAGAGCGAGGGGAGUCGGGUGGGGAUCCAAUCUCUGACUCCAUGGAGGACUUUGUAAGGUUUGGACCCAGAGUAAAGGAAAGUUUAAUGCAUGACAUAGACUAACCUCUCUGUUAGUUAGACUAACCCAUCUGUUAGUCUAUGUCAGGUUGUGUCUAUCAAGACCCGUGUCAUUUCACCAACUUCUCCCUUUCCCAGAAGGGUCACUUCUUUUUCACUUGCUGGGAAAGGGAGAAGUUCAUGGAAUGACGAACGUCUUGAUUUCAUGGAAUGACGAAGGUCUUGAUAGACUCAACCUGAAGUGGCCCUUAGAAGCCAGCAGAUCUGGCAGCCCCAGCAGAUCUCAUUGGCUCGGAGGUCUGUAGGGAAGAGGAUAUCACAAGACCAGCAGCACUGUCACGGAAGGGGUUCUGGAGCUUUGCAGCAAGGCUCCUUCUCCUUCAGUGGCUGAUCUCUUUUGAAGAAAGAACUUCCGGCCUGCUUCUGGGCAGGCAGAGAUGGCCUGUUUGACCCCAGGGCACCAGGUGAGCAGCUGAACCCAGACAUGCGCUGUGAACUAUCCACUGAGCCACCAAGCCUUCCCCAGCUCAUUGCAUCCUCAGAGCAGGCAUGGUGUUGGGAUGUCUACAGACGGCUUGCCCAUAGUCCCUGCUCUCCACUUUCACCCAGCCUUCCACCAAGUUCCCUCUUGGGUGCUUUCCUAUGAGUAGUUGUCUGAGGAUGAAAAAUGUGUGUUCGACAGCAGCUUUAGAUGCUGAAGUGUUUUGGAGAAGAAGUAUAUCACUGCUAUACUCUCAGAAAGAUCUCAAGUUCUGAAAAUAUCCGUUAUUUCCUGGGAAUGCUUAUAAGAACGUCCUCACUACAAAAGAGAAUCAGGCUGAUAGACAUGUUGAGACCAAAUAAAGAUAUUCAAAACAAAUAAAGAUAGUCAAAGACAAAUAAAGAGACCCAGUGGAGAGGGAAACUUCAUUUUUACAUAAGACUGGAAAGUAAUUGUUGUGGGUGCCUGGCGAUUAUCUAAAGCCAAUGGUGUAAUGCAGGGGUUAAGAAGAAUUUACCAAGACAGUUGUUGGUAAAGAAAGGCAGAUUUAUUAGAAAAAGUAUGAAAGUACAUUGCAAGGGAGCAACGGGCAGGCCAGCAGGAGAGGAGCUGACUGCCAGGAAACAGACACUUGCAGGGGAUUUGAUAGGAUCAUGCUCGUGGUGUGUGCUGGAGAGGGCUAUGUGCAGUGCUAGUAACGCCAAGGUUGCAGGGAGCUAACUUGCAAUUUUUGUAUCAGCGAAGGUCUGGUGAUUGCUGGGCACAGGAAGACUGAGUUAUUUGUGCAGGGGGCCUGUGUGUCUUGGACAAUGAAGAAAGGCAGACUCACAGCUUAUCCUUUUGCUUUCCUUUGGUCCCACCAACCUGAAUCCCCCUCCUUGAUUAGGACUGUACAGUAAUGAGUAUGCAAGAGAAUGAGAAAUUUUCUUUUCUUUUUUUUUUUUGAGAUGGAGGUUCACUCUUGUCACUCAGGCUGGAGUGCAAUGGCGCGAUCUCAGCUCAGUGCAACCUCUGCCUCCCGGGUUCAAGCAAUUCUCCUGCCUCAGCCUCCCAUGUAGCUGGGAUUACAGGCACCCACAACCACAGCCGGCUAAUUUUUUUGUAUUUUUAGUAGAGACGGGGUUUCACCAUGUUAGCCAGGAUGGUCUCGAUCUCCUGACCUCAUGAUCUGCCUGCCUCGGCCUCCAAAAGUGUGGGAUUACAGGUGUGAGCCACUACACCCAGCCUGUUUUUUCUUUUUCUUUCU